rnacentral:lncRNA from 1 species
AGCUGCUACCCAAAGCCCUUUGUUUCUGUCCUCAGGUAAAAAUAUUUCCUGGACCUGAUUCUCGUUGGAUGGAAGUCUUGUGGACCCUAUAGAGAUUUGGCCAUAGGAGUAACACUUAACCAUCUGCUGUGGUGGAAAGAACACUCACUGUAGGGUCACUCUAGCCUGGAUUCUAAUCUCAGUUCUUUAUUUAUCAGACAGACACAGAAAGAAGGAAGACAAUGUGAUGACGUGAAGACACAAGGAGAAGACAGCCAUCUACAAACCAAGGAAAGAGGACUUGGAAGAAAUCAAUCAAUGUCAAAACCUUGAUUUCAGACCUCUGCCCUCCAGAAUUGUUAGAAAAUAAAUGUCUGUUGUUUAAACCACC